UGUAUCCCUAACCUUCUUCGUCACGAUAAUAAUUUAACCCAUUUACUAAGAAUGUAUGCUGAAAACCUUCUCACAAUGACCAACUAAAACAAAGAGAAACUCUUGAAUUGUCUACUUAAAAAUGCCGUAUUUUUUCAUAUGGUGCACUUCGAUAACAAAAAAGCAGUUUACAACAUUGCACAAAAGGAUUGUUUCACUGAUCAGCCGUCUCCUUCUUUUUAAGCUCCGCCAUAUAUUGUGCGAAUUUACUUUGAGGAUGACUGUGUAAUCCACAUUCUGUUUUCUCUCGACCGCGCCAACGUCCGGCACGUUCAUCUUCACCUUCUCUAACUGGUUGAGUAGAGUGCCAGUCACCAACUGAUCUGUAACCCUUGUUCAGAAGUUCAUUAUAUGGAACGUUGUUUGUAAUAAUAUAAUUAUGAACUUCAGUAAAAGACCAGUUAGCCAAGGGGUUGAUCUUUAAUACUGGUCCAUCCAGCUGAACAAUGGGCAAAGAUCCGCGCUCUCCACCUUGACUACGGCGGCGGCCAGUAAACACAGCAAGUACAUUUAAGUCAGAAUAAGCACGACUUGCUGGUUCCACUUUGACUAAAAAGUCAUACCGAGAUUCAUCUGUCUCCCAAAGCUUCUCACCAAACUUCUGAGCAAAUUCCUUUUCGUUGGCUGCUUCAGCACAACGAUAGACGUGAACAGGCACGUUAGGAUACUUAGUUUUGACUUUUUCAAGAAGAUCCAGUGUUUCUGGGAAAUGAUGAAGUGUGUUGAUAAAAAUCAGAGGAACAUUCAUAUCCAUUUUCGAUAACAUGUCCAUAAUAACAAGCCCGGACAGUCCUAACGCAGAUGUUUGAAACAAAGAAGGAAGUGUCCAACGGCACCAUUUUAAGAUAUCUUGAGGACUAAGCUCCGAUAACUGCUUGUUGAUGUAUUCGAGAUGUUCUGGGUGAAACAAGGUUUUCGCUUGCAAUUUAUUAGCAGGCGUAUCGAUUGAGCUCAUAUUGAGUACAAUAAAUUAGAAAAACCAAAAUUUGGGACGAAAUCAAUUAUGUCGGCGAGGAACCAAUGGUUUAAACCGAAGAUAAAAAGUCGAAAACUUUUCAAAAAAACCAAAAAAAAAAUUUGAGUCGUGUACGCAGAAAAAUUUUACUUACACUUACUUUUAUAGUUUUAUAGAAGCUAUUGGUGUGCUCUGUAAGACUUUUAGAGAAUAGUCAGACAGGUUUGGAAAAUAAUUAUUACGGAAGAUCUGCAUCGAUGCUUACAAAGGAAGAGGUAACAAGACGAUACCUAUUUUAGUUGGUAAUAGUAAAUUGUAGAAAAAAAGAAUAAG